rnacentral:rRNA from 1 species
UACGGGGGGAGCAAGCGUUGUUCGGAUUUACUGGGCGUAAAGGGCGCGUAGGCGGCACCGCAAGUCGACUGUGAAAUCUCCGGGCUUAACUCGGAAAGGUCAGCCGAUACUGCGGGGCUAGAGUGCAGAAGGGGCAACUGGAAUUCUCGGUGUAGCGGAUGAAAUGCGUAGAUAUCGAGAGGAACACCCUGCGGCGAAGCGGGUGCUGGGCUGACACUGACGCUG